GGGGAUAAGCGGCGGAAACGCCGUCUAAUACCGCGUGACAACCCGAGGGGGCAUCCCCUUGGGUUCAAAGGAGAGAUCCGGUACCGGCUGGGCAUGCGGCGCAUUAGCUAGUUGGCGGGGCAACGGCCCACCAAGGCGACGAUGCGUAGGGGUUCUGAGAGGAAGGUCCCCCACACUGGAACUGAGACACGGUCCAGACUCCUACGGGAGGCAGCAGUGAGGAAUAUUGGUCAAUGGGCGCAAGCCUGAACCAGCCAAGUCGCGUGAGGGAAGACGGCCCUACGGGUUGUAAACCUCUUUUGCCGGGGAGCAAGCCUGAGCACGUGUGCCCAGGCGGAGAGUACCCGGAGAAAAAGCAUCGGCUAACUCCGUGCCAGCAGCCGCGGUAAUACGGAGGAUGCGAGCGUUAUCCGGAUUUAUUGGGUUUAAAGGGUGCGCAGGCGGGCUGUUAAGCCGGCGGUAAAAAUUCAGGGCUCAACCCUGUCGAGCCGUCGGAACUGGCAGUCUUGAGUGGGCGAGAAGUAUGCGGAAUGCGUGGUGUAGCGGUGAAAUGCAUAGAUAUCACGCAGAACGCCGAUUGCGAAGGCAGCAUACCGGCGCCCAACUGACGCUGAGGCACGAAAGCGUGGGGAUCGAGCAGGAUUAGAUACCCUGGUAGUCCACGCAGUAAACG
rnacentral:rRNA from 1 species